GACGAACGCUGGCGGCGUGCUUAACACAUGCAAGUCGAACGGAAAGGCCCCUCUGUGGGUACUUGAGCGGCGAACGGGUGAGUAACACGUGAGUAACCUGCCCUUCACUUCGGGUUGACUUCCUUAAACUGGGGCUAAUACCGGCUAGGAAUCCUUGCUGCCUGGUGGGUGUUGGAAAGCUUGGGCGGUUUGGGGUGGACUCGCGGCUUGUAGGUUUGUUGGUGGGUUAGUGGCUUACCAAGGAUUUGAGGGGCAGCCGGCCGGGGGGGGCGACCGGCCACUUGGGAACGGGAUACGGCCCAGGCUCCCACGGGGGGGAGGAGGGGGGAAUAUUGCAAAAAGGGCGGGAGCCUGAAGCAACAACGCCGCGUGCGGGAUGAAGGGCUUCGGGUUGGAAAACGGUUUCAGCAGGUGAGAAGCUUGUGGUGACGGUACCUGCAGAAGAAGCACCGGCUAACUACGUG
rnacentral:rRNA from 1 species